rnacentral:rRNA from 1 species
AAACCGCCUAGAGGUAAACGGGUGGAUCCGCAAAGUCGGCUUGCGAAAUUCAGCUCGGAGGGUUGGCGCGGGCGGCAGACCGAGAUCUUUAAUGGACUCGCCUGUCGUUCGACCGCUGGCUUGACGUGUGCACUUUUCGCAGGCAGAGCGCCACGACCGGUUCUCGGGCAGUCAGAAGGCGGUGGGGAAGGUAGGCGGGCGCCUCGCGCGUUUGCUGUUAUAGCCUCACCUGUCCCGAUCUGCUCCGGGGACCGAGGAGCCGCCGCUCGGCCGAGCUACCCUGCUCUCCUAGGGGGUCUCGACUGGCAGAGACUGGGCAACCGUGUCUGCCGACCGCCUCUUGGGACAGACUGGGGGUGACCAAUGUAGCUGGCCAAGCACAGGGUCGGUGGCGAAUCGGUCGGCACUCCACCCGACCCGUCUUGAAACACGGACCAAGGAGUCUAACAUGCGCGCGAGUCGUUGGGUUGUACGAAACCCGAAGGCGAAGUGAAAGCGAGGGCAACUUGUUUGCUCAGGUGGGAUACCUGCCGUCCCGUCGGCGGGUCGCACCACCGGCCCGUCUCGUUCGCGUUGUCGAAGAGGCGGAGCAAGAGCGUGCACGUUGGGACCCGAAAGAUGGUGAACUAUGCCUGAGUAGGAUGAAGCCAGAGGAAACUCUGGUGGAGGUCCGCAGCGAUUCUGACGUGCAAAUCGAUCGUCAAACUUGGGUAUAGGGGCGAAAGACUAAUCGAACCAUCUAGUAGCUGGUUCCCUC